rnacentral:rRNA from 1 species
GACGAACGCUGGCGGCGUGCUUAACACAUGCAAGUCGAACGGUAAGGCCCUUCGGGGUACACGAGUGGCGAACGGGUGAGUAACACGUGGGUGAUCUGCCCUGCACUUCGGGAUAAGCCUGGGAAACUGGGUCUAAUACCGGAUAGGACCACUGCCUGCAUGGGUGGUGGUGGAAAGCUUUUGCGGUGUGGGAUGGGCCCGCGGCCUAUCAGCUUGUUGGUGGGGUGAUGGCCUACCAAGGCGACGACGGGUAGCCGGCCUGAGAGGGUGACCGGCCACACUGGGACUGUGAUGCGGCCCAGACUCCUACGGGAGGCAGCAGUGGGGAAUAUUGCACGAUGGGCGCAAGCCUGAUGCAGCGACGCCGCGUGAGGGAUGACGGCCUUCGGGUUGUAAACCUCUUUCAGCACCGACGAAGCGCAAGUGACGGUAGGUGCAGAAGAAGGACCGGCCAACUACGUGCCAGCCGCCGCAGUAA